rnacentral:rRNA from 1 species
UACGAGUGCCUCAAGCGUUAUCCGGAAUUAUUGGGCGUAAAGGGUGUGUAGGCUGUUAUAUUAGUCCCGUGUUAAAACCUUCGGCUUAACCGAAGAGAUGCAUAGGAAACGGUAUAACUAGAGGAUGCGAGAGGUGAACAGAACUCAUAGUGUAGGGGUGAAAUCCGUUGAUAUUAUGGGGAAUACCAAAUGCGAAGGCAGUUCACUGGCGCACUCCUGACGCUGAAACACGAAAGCGUAGGUAGCGAAUGGG